AUGGAGUCUGCAAACAAAUUAUGUUUCAAAAUUGGGAUUUCCUCAGAACCACUGAACCUGACUGUUGGGUGUAUAAAGACAAUAGAAAAUGGACCAUUUUCACAGACUGUGAUGACACAUUUCCACAGCUAUUAUUGUAAGUCUGGCAAUGUUUUUUAUGUUUUCAUUUUUUUUUUAAAUGUAAUGUACAAGUUUUUUAGUGUUGUGCAUUACAGGACAUGUAAUGUACAACACUAUACUUUGUUUUAUUACCUUGGCAUUAAAUGACUGAAAACUUGGUAACUGCUGUGUGAGUGUUUCUGAUACAAUGGCUAAGGGAGUGACAUCCUUCUCUCUUUCUGACCAACGUUUUUAAUCACUUUAUAUUUUUUUGCUGUUUUGGAAAGUCAUAGAAACACUAUCAUGGAUUUUUUUCUUCUGCUAUUAGCGGAAAUGGGAACGCAAAAAACUAUGAAGGCUUCCGCUUUUGAGAACCCUACAUGGUAUAAAAAAAGGAAAAUGUAUUAGUAUUGGUAAUGGUCCAGAAUUUUACUAGACAAUUUCCAUUAACAAAUGCAAUGAAGUGCAAAAUUCAAAAUAUGGGUAAAAACCUGUAUAAAAUAAAUAUGGAAAAUUCCUAAUACAGUUCAUUGUGCCAUAUUUUUUUUUUUACUAGAUUUCUUGUAAAGUGUAGAAACGUGAAAAAGGGUCCAUCAUACAGGUUUGGAAUGACAUAAAUCCCAUUUUUUAAAUGAAAUGAAUCUUAACUAAUUGAGAGUCUCAUUUGGGGAGAAAAUACAGACUACUUUUGACCCUCUUGUUUGUUAUGCAGUUGGACUGAUGCACAUGCUGAAUGAGGAGAUGGGCUGCAAGGCAGAGAGGGCUGAGGAUCAAAGAGUAAGGGUCUUAUUAUGAACAGCCUCUAUCACUAACCCCAAUAAAUUAAAACAAACUUGCCUGAACUAUUCAAACUAUUAACAUGCAUUUUAACUAUUAACAUGCAUUUUAAUGUCUGGCUAUUUCCCCAAAUAAUUUUCUAUUUAUUUAUUUAGUUUUCUUCUUUUUUUUUUUUUGUUCUACGGUGGGCUUCUGAGCGAUGAUGCAGUGGCAGGGUGCUAUCGCAGAAGAGAAGGACCCAAUAAGCCAAAUAGACUCUGUGAUGUGGGAAGGAAACCUGAGGGUCUAACAUUUGGAAGUUCCUUCCUUCCUGAAAUGCCAAGAGGAACCAUGCAAGAUCAAAAUGACAGGAGAUGAUGCUUUGGUGGAAACAUGUUCUGUCAGUCCAUCAUGCUGUUCUUUACAGCAAUCUGUGAUGCUGUUUUCAUUGAAGGACAUGUUAGUGAUAAAUAAAGGAAAAGUACUGGAUGUAGUACAUUCAUUAGAAGCUCAAUGACUUCUUGUGGCACAAGGAGUCUAUUGCAUCAGGCCAAAGUGUAAGGCCAAGGCCGAGAAAGAGAGUCCGAAAAUCUAAUUAAGUUCACAAUGCCCUGGACUUUUUAGAAAAAAAGACAGACAGAAAAAUAGAAUUGCUCUGGGGACCUAUUGAUUAUCAAAAAUUCAAUAAAACCAAGAAACUAUAUUGGCACAAAGACUUCCAGAAAGAAAUAACAUCAAGCAGUCAAGUGAUUCGUCCCCUCAUAUUUUGGAAGACUGAUAAAAAAUUAUGGUUAAAGACCACUUCAGAUAAAACUCUGCCAUCUACUGGUAGAAGUCCAAAUGUUCAACAAAAUCUCAAUAAUAUCUUCAUCCAUGUGAGAAUAUUUCUCUAAAACUUUCCUGAAUCAGUUGAAAUAAAGUAAAAAGAAGAAACACUGUUACUACAGGCAUGUUAAAAUAAAAACUGGACAUUGUAAAACAUCAGGGCAUAGUCUGCAAGGCAAAGUCUAGAAAGUUUGGCAAGAAGCCACCAUCCACUAUGCAAAGGAUGAACCCAUGCAAGGAUACAGCAGUUGUUAAGAGGAACUGUGCUAAGUUAGUUUAGGGAGGUAUUUAGCCUUUGGAUGAGCUGCCCUGAUGCUACAGCCAGAGUGGGACUG
rnacentral:lncRNA from 1 species